UACAGAGGGUGCGAGCGUUGUUCGGAAUUAUUGGGCGUAAAGGGCGCGUAGGCGGUGCGGUAAGUCACCUGUGAAAUCCUCCCUGGCUCAACUGGGAGCUUGCAGGCGAAACUGCCGUGCUGGAGUGAUGGGAGAGGUGCGUGGAUUCCUGGUGUAGCGGUGAAAUCGCGUAGAUAUCAGGGAGGAACACCUGUGGCGAAAGCGGCGCACUGGACCAGCAACUGACGCUGAGGCGCGAAAGCUAGGGGAGCAAACAGG
rnacentral:rRNA from 1 species